GAGGAAGCCGGUGCGAGUCCGGCGCGGUCCCGCCACUGUGACCUGGCCUGACGGCUGGGGAGCCAGAUACUC
rnacentral:ncRNA from 1 species